CACCAAAAACUAGGGGUGGCUUGAAAUGCCGAACCUGCCGGAACCAACCAGAAACCGGCCGAACCGGAGGAGUCGGCGCCGACCAAAACGGCAGCCGGAGGUGCGGUGCGGUAAUGCCGUACCGAAUGUUGAUAGUCGGCUCGGUAGCGGUAUAGCAAAUAGAUGAGGUUCGGCAGUGCCGAACCGACCGAAUAAAAUAGAUUUUAACUAUUUUUUUAUUAUUUUUAUUAGUAGGUGUGUUAUUAACCGUUGAUGUAUAUCAACAAUGAGUUUGAACCGUUGGAUCUGAGUUGAAAGUGAGAAAACCCUAAGGGGGUCAGUUAGGGAUCUCAUUCCCGAAAGCAGCCUCUCGACCCUCUCUCUCUCCCCCUCUCUCGCGACACCAUUCUAGCAUUCUCUCAGCCUCUCUUUCUCUCAGAACCCAGCCCCAAUUUGUUGAUUCCCAGUCCCAAAACCUCAAUCUAAGCAAGAUGCAAACCUCAAUAACAUAAAUUUCAACCCGUAUCGUUUGAUUUUCGAAAUCCCCAAAUUUUUCGAAAACCCUAAAAAAUCCUAGAUCAGUUCCUUGGUUCAAGUGGUGGCUCAGAGGCUUAUAAGGUGUUGAAAAGACGGUUCUUCGCACAACGAAUUAGGGAAGAGCUUCGUGUGAGGUGUAUGUGAAUACAAACAAUCAGACAGUUGUUCGUCAAGAUUGUUACCCUGAAAACUGCUAGGCUACAUUUGGGAGGUGCUAACUCUUCUACAACAACUGCUGCUUGAAGAUUUGGAUGCUGCAAAGUGCAAGCAUCAGUCCGAAGAUAUAGUUGCUGGGUUUUUUUUUGUUAAGGGAUUGGAGUCUACUUGAAGAUUUGGAUAUAUAUGCUGCAGUGCAAACCUCCGGUUCAAACCAUAUGCAGAUUUUUGUUUAUUUCAAGAUUUCUAGUUCCUAUUUGAAGUUAUGUAAUAUUUAAGUAGUUUUAGACUCAGAAAUCAGUUGCAUAUGAUUUGUGAACUUGUAAAUUGUCAUGUAGAACUGGAACAUUUUUAAUUAUUGGAGAAAGUCUGAAAGAGGAAAACAUCAAGUCAAGAACUCACAUCUCCCUAAGAAGGUGAGGAAUAG